rnacentral:rRNA from 1 species
GACGAACGCUGGCGGCGUGCUUAACACAUGCAAGUCGGACGGAAAGGCCCUGCUUUUGUGGGGUGCUCGAGUGGCGAACGGGUGAGUAACACGUGAGUAACCUGCCCUUGACUUUGGGAUAACUUCAGGAAACUGGGGCUAAUACCGGAUAGGAGCUCCUGCUGCAUGGUGGGGGUUGGAAAGUUUCGGCGGUUGGGGAUGGACUCGCGGCCUAUCAGCUUGUUGGUGGGGUAGUGGCUUACCAAGGCUUUGACGGGUAGCCGGCCUGAGAGGGUGACCGGCCACAUUGGGACUGAGAUACGGCCCAGACUCCUACGGGAGGCAGCAGUGGGGAAUAUUGCACAAUGGGCGGAAGCCUGAUGCAGCAACGCCGCGUGCGGGAUGACGGCCUUCGGGUUGUAAACCGCUUUCGCCUGUGACGAAGCGUGAGUGACGGUAAUGGGUAAAGAAGCACCGGCUAACUACGUG